GCCUUCUUCUUAAGCACUCUGCUAAAAUUACAAAAUUCAGGUACCCCUGCCUUUUGUAAUAAUGCUAGUAGAGUACACCGAGGAAGAAGAAAAAAUGCACAGCAUUGCAAAUGAGUCCAAGGUGGACCUCUUUCUUAAUGUCCAGUGUCCUUUGUCUCAAGAUUCUGUGCUACAGUU